GACGAACGCUGGCGGCGUGCUUAACACAUGCAAGUCGAACGGAAAGGCCCUGCUUUUGUGGGGUGCUCGAGUGGCGAACGGGUGAGUAACACGUGAGUAACCUGCCCUUGACUUUGGGAUAACUUCAGGAAACUGGGGCUCAUACCGGAUAGGAGCUCCUGCUGCAUGGUGGGGGUUGGAAAGUUUCGGCGGUUGGGUAUGGACUCGCGGCUUAUCAGCUUGUUGGUGGGGUAGUGGCUUACCAAGGCUUUGACGGGUAGCCGGCCUGAGAGGGUGACCGGCCACAGUGGGACUGAGAGACGGACCAGACUCCUACGGGAGGCAGCAGGGGGGAAUAUUGCACAAUGGGCGGAAGCCUGAUGCAGCAACGCAGCGUGCGGGAUGACGGCCUUCGGGUUGUAAAAAGCUUUCGCCUGUGACGAAGCGUGAGUGACGGUAAUGGGUAAAGAAGCACCGGCUAACUACGUG
rnacentral:rRNA from 1 species